UAUUAUUUAAAAUGUAAAAAAAAAUUAUUAAAGUAGUAGUAGUUAUGUUCUUGAAACUUAAAAAAUUUGGCGGUAUUUUAAUCUCUCCAGAGGAACCUGUUUUGUAAUCGAUAAUCCACGAUGGACCUUACUUAAGUUUGUAUUCAGUUUAUAUACCGUCGUUAUCAGAAUAUUUUAUAAGAAUAAUAAUAUUCAAUAAUUUUUAAAAAAAUUUAUAUCAGAUCAAGGUGUAGCUUAUAUUUAAGUAAUAAUGGGUUACAAUAAAAAUAUUUAAACGGAUAAAAUUAUGAAAAAAUUUUUGAAGGUGGAUUUGGUAGUAAAAUUAUAAAGAUAAAUAAUUUGAUUAUAGCUCUAAAAUAUGUACACAUCGCCCGUCGCUCUUAUUAUUAAGGUAAGAUAAGUCGUAACAUAGUAGAUGUACUGGAAAGUGUAUCUAGAAUGA
rnacentral:rRNA from 1 species